CCGGCCGUAUUUCGUACCUGGUAAUUAUGGUAUUUGGCCUCCUUGAGUGAGCUCUGGUUCUACGCUCUCUCUCUCUCUCUUGUUCUUAGAUCAUCUCUCUAGCAUCACUACCUCUCUAGGGCAACAGUUUGGCGCUUCUCGUGAAGCGAGCGAGGGAAUCUCUAGCUAGCUCCACCGCGCGCCGGGCAUGAAUUCCUAGAAAAUUUACCAGAUCGCGGUCGGCGCCUGGAUCGAUCAUGGAUCCUUGCAACUGCAUUGACCCGCUGUGGCCGGCCGAGGAUCUCCUCAUCAGGUACCAAUACGUGGCCGACAUCUUCAUCGCCCUGGCCUACUUCUCCAUCCCGAUCGAGCUCGCCUACUUCGUGCUCAAGUCCUCGAUCUUCCCCUACCGCGGCGUGCUCAUCCUCUUCGGCCUCUUCAUCGUCCUCUGCGGCGCCACACACAUGAUCAGCCUGUGGAUGGUGGAGGCGCACUCGCGCGGCGUGGAAUGGGUCAUGACCGUCGCCAAGGCGCUCACCGCGGUCGUCUCCUGCGGCACCGCUCUCAAGCUCGUCCAGAUCAUCCCCGACCUCCUCAGCGUCAAGACCCGCGAGCUCUUCCUCAAGAACAAGGCCGACGAGCUGGACCGGGAGAUGGGACUGAUGCGCACCGAGGCCGAGACCGGCAAGUACGUGAGGAUGCUCACCAAGGAGAUUCGCAACAGCCUCGUCAAGCACACCAUCCUCAACACCACGCUGGUGGAGCUGGGCAAGACUCUGGGGCUGGAGGAGUGCUGCCUGUGGAUGCCGAAUCGCAGUGGCACGGAGCUGGAGCUGUUUCGGAGCCUGCGAUCGCCCAACGCGGUGGCGACCAGCGUCCCCGUCCACCACCCCGACAUAAAGCUCGUGUUUGGAGCCAACCGGGCCGUGGUCAUCCCCUCGAGCAGCCCGGUUGCGAUUCACGUACUCACGGCCGCUGGCAACGCUUCCGCGAGAUCAUCGUGCAGGUACGCUCCAGGAGAGGUGCUAGCGGUCAGAGUCCCGUUUCUCCACCUGAAUGACUUUCGGGUAGGGGACUGGUCUCAGGCUCACGGUCACCGGCCGUUUGCUCUCAUGGUGCUCGUACUGCCGCCAAACAGCGCCCGGAGAUGGAGACCUCACGAGCUGGACAUGGUGGACGCGGUUGCCGACCAGGUUGCUGUUGCUAUGUCCCAUGCGUCCAUCCUGGAGGACUCGAUCAAGGCCAGGGACCUGCUGAUGCAGCAGAACGUGGAGCUCGAGACGGCCCGGCGCGAGGCGGAGAGCGCCGACCGUGCCCGGAACAACUUCAUGGCCGUGAUGAACCAGGAGAUGCGGACUCCCAUGAACUCCAUCAUCGAUCUCACUCACAGGCUCGAGGAGACCAACAUGACUCAAGACCAGCGGGCUCUAGUCGAUACGAUCCUCAGGAACAGCACCCUCCUGGCCAAGCUCGUCAACAGCGUGCUGGACCUGUCGAGGCUGGAGGACGACAAAACCGUGCUGGACAUGCGAGCUUUCAGGCUCCGCGGCAUUUUCGAAGAGGUGAUGGAGCAGAUCAAGCCUGUGGCCUCGGUGAAGAAGUUGGCCUUGUCACUGUCACUAGCAGCCGAUCUUCCCGACUACGUCCUCGGUGACGAUCGUCGCCUCGUCCAAGUCCUCCUCCAAAUCACCGGAAACGCCGUCAAGUUCACCAAAGAAGGCAGCGUGAGUACGAGCGUGAGGCUGGAGAAGGGCGUCAAUGGCAGCAACGACCACCAUUGUUACAUCCGAGUACAGGUGAGAGACACGGGCCAAGGCUUCCUCCCGCAGGACAUACCCAAGCACUUCAACAGGGGUGGGAUGAUUCUCGACGCCAAGAACAUCAAGCAUUACAGUGGCACAGGCCUGCCGAUCUCCAAAAGGUGGUUUGUGAUGUAUAUAUUAAUUAUCUGGGGCUCAACCUUUUUCCAUGGUUUCGAGUUCCAGGCUGGUAAAUCUCAUGGAAGGCCACAUCUGGAUCGAGAGCGAUGGCCCUGGCAAGGGAUCGGUGGUCACCUUCAUUGUAAAGUUGCAGAGAUGCGUAACUCACACUGUGAGCGAUGAUCCGGAGAGGGAGCCACUGCUUGGCUCCAACUUUUGAGGCGGCGAACUUGGCCGAGGAGUCUGCUGGCUACAGCCAACAUACUUCUGCCCGUCGUGCCUUGCUGUGAUCAAUCAAACCGGGGAUCUCACAGAGGCGUGGGAUUCAAGGCCUCGCUCGCGUCGGCGUCGGCAUCGUCGUCCUCGUCGUUGCCGCCCCCGUCGGACACUUCUGCCGCUGCCGAGUCGCCGUCGUCCUCGAGCCCCAUCUCUUUGAGCGUUUCCUGGACGAACUCCAUCAUAAAUCUGUUGUAGAGCCUCUUGAUGGUACGUAUACACUUCCUUCUCUCGCCCGCGGGCAGUGCCGGUUUGUUCAUCCCCUCCUGGCCAGACACAAACGUGUCCCACCCGUUCGCGGCCUCAAACUGUCCCAAGGCAGAGAAGUCCCGUCAAGUUUCAGUGCAAGAAAGAGCUUGUUUUCUAAGACGCACCUUGCAUUUUCCACCAGUUCGGAGGAUCAUAGUGGCCAGCUUCCCCAUGUUGACGAACUGAUUCGCGGCUUUAGGAUGGACGCAAAAGACCGGCUUUCCUUUCUCCUUGAGCCAGUGCCGGAGUUCUUUGGUCGAGACUUUGCAUGGAUCCAAGUCUGUAAAGAGAGAAGCUUGUCAAUCCACCCAUUUUUUCUCC